UAUGAUUGAUUAAGUCUUUUGGAAGCUAAGUAAAAUUUUGACUUGAGUUAGUUUAUGAGAGUUUUUGAGUUUUCAUAUUUUGAGAAGUCAAUAAUUGAUAAAAUGAGGUCUAAUUUGCUUUAUGACCAUUUUGUGAAGUUGUCAUGUUUUGUUGAGAGUUUAUGUGAAUAUAUGAGUUUUUAUUAAAGUUUGGUUGGUAUGAUUAAAGGGGAUUUAUGUGUAUAAAAUGAGUUAUAUGAAGUAUGAGGUCAUUUUGAAUGAUUGAGUGUUUUUAAGCAUGAAAUUGAGAAGAGGAUUGACUUGAUACGUUUGUAGAAACGUUUUCCUUGAAAUUUGAGUUAAGAUGUAAAAGAGGAGAGUUAAUUUGAGUAUGAUGAGUAUUUUAAAUGUUUUGAAUGUUUUUGAGUGUUAUAUGUGUUUAAAAUGAACUUUGAUUGGUUUUCUUUGAAGAAAUGUUGAAUUGAGCAUUUAAGAGUUUGAGAUGAGUUUUGGUGAUUUUUUUCGUAGGCUACUGACCUACUGUGAUCGACGGGUUGUCGAUGUCUAAUGGCUUUGAAAAUUUUACAGCAUGUCCCUACAUGAGUCGUGAGCAUACCGGUAAAAUUUCAAGUCAUUUGGACUUGAUUUACUAUUUUUAAAAAAUGCAAAACCAAAUCUGCACAUUUCUACCGGGAAUUUCAGAGAACAGGGGACAAAGUCAUUCAUUUCAGUAGCUUCCUGUGUGAUCUAGCUUUCCAAAUUUUUAUGGUAUCAACCUUACUGUAUGGUCUAGAUAUCCACCAAAUUUGAGCUCCGUUUGACAACGUUUACUAUUUUUCAAAAAUCAAUGUUUCCGAUUGCUCAAAACUGCCGAAUAUGGUAGACCGUGGUAAAAACGCCAUAUCUCCCAAACCACUUGGAGUUUCUGACUCUACUUUUUUUUGAAUGAAACUAGACUCAAAUACCUUUCUUUUGGUAUGAGUCUGGAGUCCAGAAGAUGUCGGAGUCAGAACGUGUUAAAUUUUGAAGUUGAGUCAGUGGGAAAACAGAACAUGAUUUGUUGAUGUUUGAUUGUAUUUUCUUAUGUGCCUUAUGUGUUUAUGUUGCUUAAGUGUUUUAAUGAGAUUAGACGAGUCUUAUAUGAGAGAUAAAUCGAGACUUAGAACCAUGAUUUUCUUGAAACCUAUCCUUGGACUUAAGGAUUUGAAAUGAGUGAAGAAGUUUAUGUAGAGUCGAUCAAGAGAUAGAAUAUAAGAUAGAGCAUGAGUUAAGGCAUGAGUUUUUGUCGUUGAGUUCUAAUCGAGAUUCAUUUUAUGACAUGAACCUUCGAUGAUGACGAUGAUCCCUGAAGACACGAGCAGAGCAAGGAAGUAAGUAACUCCGCUUUGACGGGAGUGUUUGAGUAAGGUCUUCAGGCUAAGCGAGGAGCGAGAUUGGUCUGGUGCUAGUGGGGGAAACGUUUCAAUCGAUGUAAUUAUGUUUUCGUAUUGCCUUCAUGUUAAUAGAGUCUUGAGGAUUGAGAUACUUUGUUUUCUUUUGAAAUCAAGCAAUUUACUCACGGUUAUGUGUCUUCAUACAUGUAAUCGAUUCGCCUUUUGCUGCGAUACUCUGCAUUUUAUGAUUCCUUAUGAAAAAUGAGCUAUACCCGUUUUGUUUU